UACGUAGGCAGCGAGCGUUGUUCGGAGUUACUGGGCGUAAAGAGCUCGUAGGUGGUUUGUCGCGUUGUUCGUGAAAACUCACAGCUUAACUGUGGGCGUGCGGGCGAUACGGGCAGACUGGAGUACUGCAGGGGAGACUGGAAUUCCUGGUGUAGCGGUGAAAUGCGUAGAUAUCUGGAGGAACACCGGUGGCGAAGGCGGCAUCCUGGACCAUUACUGACACUGAAACGCGAAAGCCAGGGGAGCAAACGGG
rnacentral:rRNA from 1 species